rnacentral:rRNA from 1 species
AUGGUGCCUGCAGCUGGUGGCGCUGGUGGCACGAAUAAUGUUAAUGGUGCUAAUGGUGGCGCUGGUGGCACGAACAAUGUUUCCGGUGCUGCUGCACCGCUGGCCGAUUCUUGCCGCAAGCCGCAGCAGCAGCUGCCAACGGUGAAACAUCAGUAUGCGGAACAAUACGAGUAUGCAUACCCAGCAGCACCGCCAUACAGCGGCCCUCCAAAGCCGCCGCCGGCGUAUCGCUAUUGCUAUGGGUAUGGUGGACGUGGUUCUGGUGGGUACGGCUACAGCUACGACUACCCCGAGCCCGAUGGUAUUUGGGAUGAACCUGAUGGUGCAUACGGCGGCGGCAGAUACCACCCACCACAGCCGCCGUAUUAUCAUGGCGGCGGUCGUGGUGGGUAUCCUUCUCCUCAGUUUGGUCGGGGAGUUGGUGCUGGUGGCUAUAGCUGCUACGGCGGUGGCGGUGGCGGCUAUCCUCCCAGUUCAUUUCCGUCUGUAGGAGGAGGAGGCGGCGGCUGUGAUGGUGGGGUCAGCAACGCUUACGGAGGGCCGCCGCAGGAGAAGCCGCGGAUGAGCGUCGGGUGGGUAGCCGCCGGGGGUGCUACCGCCUAUGGAGGGUACCAGCACCACAUGGGCGGUCGUGGUGGGUAUGGUGGAGCUGGUGCUGGUGGCUAUAGCUACCACGGCGGUGGCGGCGGCGGCGGCUGUGGUUAUCCUCCGACUGCAGGAGGAGGAGGCGGCGGCGGUCAUGGGGUCAGCAACCCCUAUGGAGGGCCGCCGCAGCAGAAGCCGCACAUGAGCGCGGGGUGGCUAGCCGCCGGAGCUGCUACCGCCUACCACGGAGGAGGAGGGCAUGGGUACAGGCAUGGGCACGGAGGAUACGACGACGGCUGUACUUGUUGCGGCGACGGUUACGGUUAUGGCUGCCGUGGUUGUGCCCCCCAUAUGCAUAUGCGAGGCGAGUUCGAGCACCAAGAGCACACCAAUAUCAAAUACACUGUUCAUCCCGACGGUAAGUGCAAUGACGCUGCCAGCGGCCCGCCCGUUACAGUGUUGGACAAAUGUGCCAGCCAACCAACAAGCGGGGUUUAA